rnacentral:rRNA from 1 species
CUAAAUACUACCCAGUGACCGAUAGCGUAUAGUACUGUGAAGGAAAGGUGAAAAGCACCCCGGGAGGGGAGUGAAAAAGAACCUGAAACCCUGUGCCUACAAGCACCUAGAGCACGUCAAUGUGUGAUAGGGUACUUUUUGUAGAACGGUCCGGCGAGCGAUUGUAUGCAGCAAGGUUAAGGACUUAAGGUCUGGAGCCGAAGCGAAAGCGAGUUUGAAAAGGGCGUUAAGUUGCAUACAAUGGGCCCGAAACCGGGUGACCUACCCAUGGUCAGGUUGAAGUGGAAGUAAAAUUCCAUGGAGGACCGAACCGACCUCCGUUGAAAAGGCGGCGGAUGAACUGUGGGUAGCGGAGAAAUUCCAAUCGAACCCGGAGAUAGCUGGUUCUCCCCGAAAUAGUUUUAGGACUAGCCUCAAGUUAGAUACCUGGAGGUAAAGCACUGAAUAGCCUAGCGGCCGAGAGGUUAGCGAAGCUUAUCAAACUCAGAAUGCCAGAGUAUUGAUGCUUGGGAGUCAGACAGUGUCAGAUAAAUGUCAUUGUCAAAAGGGAAACAGCCCAGAUCUACAGCUAAGGUCCCAAAGUCAGGUUAAGUGGAAAACGAUGUGAAGAUACGCAGACAACCAGGAUGUUGGCUCAGAAGCAGCCACUCAUUCAAAGAGUGCGUAAUAGCUCACUGGUCGAGCGUCUUUGCGCGGAGAAUUUAACGGGGCUAAACCUGACACCGAAGCUUAGGCAAUACAGCAAUGUAUUGGGUAGGGGAGCGUUGUAUACGCGGUGAAACAGUAGCGCAAGCGGCUGUGGAGUGUAUAGAAGUGAGAAUGCCGGAAUGAGUAGCGCGAAUGCAGUGAGAAUCUGCAUGGCCGAAAGCCUCAGGUUUCUGGAGGAAGGUUCGUCCGCUCCAGGUUAGUCGGGAGCUAAGGUGAGGCCGGAAGGCGUAGCCGAUGCACAGACGGUAGAGAUUCCGUCACCACCAAAAGAGUUAAGCACAGGGACACAUAUGAAGUCUCAGAGCCGGGUGUUGGUUCCGGUAGAGAUCGAGGGAAGUUAGUACCGAAGUCUGAGAUGGAAGAUGGCGAGAAAAGCUGUGUGUAUUUCUGAGGUGCCCGUACCGCAAACCGACACAGGUAGGUAGGAAGAAGAUUCUAAGGCCAACGGGAGAAGGGUUGUUAAGGAACUCGGCAAAUUGACCCCGUAACUUCGGGAGAAGGGGUGCUCCAGAGAUGGAGCCGCAGAGAAUCGGCCCAAGCAACUGUUUACCAAAAACACAGGUUUGUGCUAAAUCGAAAGAUGACGUAUACGAGCUGACGCCUGCCCGGUGCUGGAAGGUUAAGAGGAGAUGUGCAAGCAUUGAAUCGAAGCCCCAGUGAACGGCGGCCGUAACUAUAACGGUCCUAAGGUAGCGAAAUUCCUUGUCAGGUAAG